rnacentral:rRNA from 1 species
CAUGCAUGUCUAAGUAUAAACAACUUUAUACUGUAAAACUGCGAACGGCUCAUUAUAUCAGCAAUAAUUUAUUUGAUGAUUUCUUACUACAUGGAUAACUGUAGUAAUUCUAGAGCUAAUACAUGCGCAAAGUCCUAACUCGCGAGGGGAGGGAUGUAUUUAUUAGAUACAAAACCAAUGCGGGUUCUGCUCGCCAUUGUGUUGAAUCAUAGUAACUUAUCGAACGCCAUAUCCUUGUGCUGGGCGUAGAUCAUU